rnacentral:rRNA from 1 species
UGGGGGAUAUUGCACAAUGGGCGCAAGCCUGAUGCAGCCAUGCCGCGUGCGUGAAGAAGGCCUUCGGGUUGUAAAGCACUUUCAGCGGGGAGGAAGGCGGUGAGGUUAAUAACCUCAUCGAUUGACGUUACCCGCAGAAGAAGCACCGGCUAACUCCGUGCCAGCAGCCGCGGUAAUACGGAGGGUGCAAGCGUUAAUCGGAAUUACUGGGCGUAAAGCGCACGCAGGCGGUCUGUCAAGUCGGAUGUGAAAUCCCCGGGCUCAACCUGGGAACUGCAUUCGAAACUGGCAGGCUAGAGUCUUGUAGAGGGGGGUAGAAUUCCAGGUGUAGCGGUGAAAUGCGUAGAGAUCUGGAGGAAUACCGGUGGCGAAGGCGGCCCCCUGGACAAAGACUGACGCUCAGGUGCGAAAGCGUGGGGAGCAAACAGG